ensembl:lncRNA
CACAUUUUAAAAGUGUGGGGGGCUACAUAAAAAGAAAGGGCAUAGAGCAAUAUUGGGAUCCCGAAGGUCCUCUCAUUAAUGGCGACUCCUUUGCUUUCCAUAAAGUUUCAAAGGAAAUAGCAGGUAAGUAGGUGUAUUAAUGCAGUUGACCUUCCUGAACUGUACCUCCCACAAGUCCUUCACAGCCAUCAAGCUUGCUAAGAGCUUCAAGCUGUUGUCUCAUGCCUUUGCAGAGCUUUGUACAUAGCUGCAUCAAACCCUGUGUACAAUAAGGUGGCCAUUUAUUCCAGCAAUCUUUCGAAUCAAAGCAAAUCUUCCUGAACGUAAUCCCACCCAAACAGUGGCAGUCAGUGUGCUGAAAAGUGGUUAGAGAGUCCGAUUCAGGAGAUCCAGAUUCAAAUACCCCCAAACUUUGACCCACCCACCAAGUCUCACCGUAACCUAGUUAAUACGGUUGUUCUGGGGCUAGUGCAGAAAGGAACAGGUAUGGUGACUUGAACUCCGAGAUGCAAAAGAAAGAAAGAAAGAAAGAAAGAAAGAAAGAAAGAAAGAAAGAAAGAAAGAAAGAAAGAAAGAAAGAAAGAAAGAAAGAAAGAAAGAAGUCAGCAGCCCAAUAGAAUAAUUGUACGCCCACCUAUACUUUGGGGGUUCUUACAUUCAGUAAAAGGGGCUCCAUAAGUCUAAUGCUUUCUUUUCUCUGAAACUUACUAAACAAUGGAUGGAUAUAAACACCUCAGUGAAAUACAGAGACACCUCUCUGCUUUGCACUGCAUCCUUCUUAGCUAUUCCAAGCAAAAUAUUUGUUUGUUUGAGUUUGUUUUGUGUGUUUUUAAUUAUGGCUUCUCACCAAAGGAGAAAAAAGUAGAACAGUCACUAGCUAUAUAAGAUUGUGUCUCUGACAGCAACAGGAUUUGUAGUGCUUCACAAUUAAAGUGUGUCUUUACCCAUGCACGCACGCACGCACGCACGCACGCACGCACACACACACACACACACACACACACUUGAUAAAUAGCAUGGAACUUUGAUCAUAAAAUUGACUGUUUACUACACACACACACACACACACACACUUGAUAAACAGCAUGGAACUUUGAUCAUAAAAUUACGUUUCAGGGAGAAUAACAUUGAAGAACUACCCCUUCCUUAUUCAUUCACCUUUAUUUCAAUUUUAAUCAUACUUGUUUGAAUUAAGCCCUACUGCAUUCACAAAGACUUGUUUCCUAAUAAUUAUGUUUAGGCUUAGGCUAAGUUUAAGUAUAAAAACACAUCCUGCUCAGGGAUCAAAGAUGAAAUAAGUUGCAAAAAUUUUAUUACUUGUGACUCUUCAUGACUAGAAAUUUCUCCAUGCUAUUCCUUGCCACACGAAAAUAUUCUUCCCCAGCAGCAGCAGCUUCUAGAGAUGAAGGGAGAGAAAAGGCUUGUCUUCUCUCAACAAGAAACAAGCAAGUAAACACCUGGUUUUAGCUACCUGCCAUAUUGCAUCUUUGAUGGACUUACAAGCACAAAGCUAAAACCGUAAAAGUAAUGCCUUAAGACUUCUUGGAUGGGAGGGUAUGUCCAUUCACUUAUUGCCUAAAAUACCACUAAUGACACAAUAAACAGAAAGCUGGGUCCA